CUGCUGUGUGGCACUCCCCAGAUGCACACAAAGUUUUCUCUCUAGUUCUGAAGUCAGCCUGCUCACCAGGGUGCACGUUCCUCUUGAUUUUCUCUGUGGAGGCCAACAAAGGAGCUGGUGAUUCUGCAGGUCGCCGAUGGUUCCAGAGGCUCCAGAAGGUGAAUGUGACUGCACCCUCUUUCCCAGUGAAGGGAUGCCGAUGACAGCCCCCAUGUAGCUUCCUCUGUGGGACGGUUUCAGCGGGGUCCCAGAUCCAGCUAUCAGGACAUGGCAGGAUUCGUCACCUGGCGUGCCCCCAGACCCGGAAGGGAUGAGGAAAGGUGGAGUUUCGCUCUCGUUGCCCAGGCUGGAGUGCAAUGGCACGAUCUCAGCUCACCGCAACCUCCACCUCCCAGAUUCAAGCGAUUCUCCUGCCUCAGCCUCCCGAGUAACUGGAAUUGCAGGCGUGCACCACCAUGCCCAGCUAAUUUUUUGUAUUGUGAGUAGAGACGGAGUUUCACCAUGUUGGCCAGGCUGGUCUCAAACUCCUGACAUCAGGUGAUCCGCCCACCUUGGCCUCCCAAAGUGCUGGGAUAACAGAUGUGAACCACCGCACCCGGCUUGAAUAGCCAUUUCUUCAAAAAGAUACACAAAUGAUAAUAAGCACAUGGAGAGAUGCUUCACAUCCCUAAUCACUAGAGAAAUGCAAAUCAACACUAAUAAUUGUGAAGACACCACUUCACAACUAUUUGAAUGGCUCUUAUUUUUAUUUUUUUUAAUUUAUUUGUUUUUGAGAGGGAGUUUUUCUCUGUUGCCCAGGCCGCAGUGCAGUGGCACCAUCUCGGCUCACUACAACCUCCACCUCCCGGGUUCAAGUGAUUAUCUUGCCUCAGCCUCCAGAGUAGCUGGGAUUACAGGCACCUGCCACCACGCCUGGCUAAUUUUUAUAUUUUUAGUAGAGAUGCGGUUUCGCCAUGUUGGCCAGGCUGGUCUCGAACUCCUGACCUCAAGUGAUCUGCCCACCUUGGCCUCCCAAAGUGCUGGGAUUACAGGUGUGAGCCGCCGCGCCUGGCCAGGCUCUUAUUUUUAGAAUGGACAAUACCGUGUUGGUGAGGAUGUUACAAGUGGGGACCCUUGUGCGCUGCUUGUGGGAAUGUAAAGUGGCAUGGCUGGAAAACAGAUGUCAGAAGCUCACACGGUAGCAUCAUAGGAUCCACAGUCCCCCUUCUGGGUGCGGCAUCGUAGGAUCCACAGUCCCCCUUCUGGGUGUAGGGGCUCAGAGAGACAUUUGCACAUCCAUGUUCCUGGGAGCAUCAUUCACGGUAGACACAGGUGGAAGCAACCCAGUUGUCCGUGGGUGGAUGAACGGAUUCAUAAAAUGUGACAUGUACUUUUAAACAAAAAUUAUGGGCAGCUGUUGUUUUGAAUGGAGCUCCUACACCAGGCCCCAAUACAUCACUCCAUUUUGGUUUGGCCUGAAGGCUAAAUGGCAUCAUCAAACUGAAACUUUAAGGAAGCAGAUAGAUCCCAAAGCUGACCAGUUUUUUCUGAAAACAGGAGACUGCAGUCUACCUGGUCAGUGUACAAAGGAAGUCCCUCUGCUUUAACCCUUACAACAAGGAACCUGAGGGAACCCGAUGUCAACCGUCAGCCUUUCUUCUGUUCCGUGUCCCUGUACCCACUUUACAAAACCCACUGUUGGCCAUUGCCCAGGGGGAGCUCUCAUUCCUCGACUGAGGCUGCCCCAUUCGUGAAUCGAGAAUAAAG
rnacentral:lncRNA from 10 species